rnacentral:rRNA from 1 species
AGUGAACGCUGGCGGUAGGCCUAACACAUGCAAGUCGAACGGCAGCACAGGAGAGCUUGCUCUCUGGGUGGCGAGUGGCGGACGGGUGAGGAAUACAUCGGAAUCUACUCUGUCGUGGGGGAUAACGUAGGGAAACUUACGCUAAUACCGCAUACGACCUACGGGUGAAAGCAGGGGACCUUCGGGCCUUGCGCGAAUGAAUGAGCCGAUGUCGGAUUAGCGAGUUGGCGGGGUAAAGGCCCACCAAGGCGACGAUCCGUAGCUGGUCUGAAACGAUGAUCCGCCAGACUGGACCUGAGAUACGGUCCAGAGUCCUACGGGCGGCAGCAUUGUGGAAUAUUGGACAAUGGGCGCACGCCUGAUCCAGCCAUACCGCGUGUGUGAAGAAGGCCUUCGGGUUGUAAGGCCCUUUUGUUGGGAAAGAAAGACAGCUGGCGAGUACCCGGUUGGGAUGACGGUACCCAAAGAAUAAGCACCGGCUAACUUCGUGCCAGCCGCCGCCGUAA